GACGAACGCUGGCGGCGUGCCUAAUACAUGCAAGUAGAACGCUGAAGAGAGGAGCUUGCUCUUCUUGGAUGAGUUGCGAACGGGUGAGUAACGCGUAGGUAACCUGCCUUGUAGCGGGGGAUAACUAUUGGAAACGAUAGCUAAUACCGCAUAACAAUGGAUGACACAUGUCAUUUAUUUGAAAGGGGCAAUUGCUCCACUACAAGAUGGACCUGCGUUGUAUUAGCUAGUAGGUGAGGUAAUGGCUCACCUAGGCGACGAUACAUAGCCGACCUGAGAGGGUGAUCGGCCAAAAGGGGAAUGGGACACGGCAAAGAAGCCUACGGGAGGCAGCAGUAGGGAAUCUUCGGAAAUGGGGGCAACCCUGACCGAGAAACGCCGCGUGAGGGAAGAAGGUUUUCGGAUCGUAAAGCUCUGUUGUAAGUCAAGAAAGGGUGUGAGAGUGGAAAGUUCACACUGUGACGGUAGCUUACUAGAAAGGGACGGCUAACUACGUG
rnacentral:rRNA from 1 species